rnacentral:rRNA from 1 species
CAGGCCUUGACAUCCAAUGAACUUUCCAGAGAUGGAUUGGUGCCUUCGGGAACAUUGAGACAGGUGCUGCAUGGCUGUCGUCAGCUCGUGUCGUGAGAUGUUGGGUUAAGUCCCGCAACGAGCGCAACCCUCGCUUUUAGUUGCCAUCAUUCAGUUGGGCACUCUAGAGGGACCGCCGGCGACAAGCCGGAGGAAGGCGGGGAUGACGUCAAAUCAUCAUGCCCCUUAUGACUUGGGCUACACACGUACUACAAUGGCUGGUACAACGGGAAGCGAAGCCGCGAGGUGGAGCCAAUCCUAUAAAAGCCAGUCUCAGUUCGGAUUGCAGGCUGCAACUCGCCUGCAUGAAGUCGGAAUUGCUAGUAAUCGCGGAUCAGCAUGCCGCGGUGAAUACGUUCCC